UACAUGCAAGUCGAACGAACCAAACUGAAGAUUGAAGCUUGCUUCAUGAUUCAGACCUUGGUGAGUGGCGGACGGGUGAGUAACACGUGGGUAACCUGCCCAAAAGUGGGGGAUAACAUCUGGAAACAGGUGCUAAUACCGCAUAACAACAACCUUCACAUGAUCACAGCUUGAAAGAUGGCUCUGCUAUCGCUUUUGGAUGGACCCGCGGCGUAUUAGCUAGUUGGUGAGGUAAAGGCUCACCAAGGCAAUGAUACGUAGCCGACCUGAGAGGGUAAUCGGCCACAUUGGGACUGAGACACGGCCCAAACUCCUACGGGAGGCAGCAGUAGGGAAUCUUCCACAAUGGGCGAAAGCCUGAUGGAGCAAUGCCGCGUGAGUGAAGAAGGUUUUCGGAUCGUAAAACUCUGUUGUUGAAGAAGAACAUGCGUGAGAGUAACUGUUCACGUACUGACGGUAUUCAACCAGAAAGCCACGGCUAACUACGUGCCAGCAGCCGCGGUAAUACGUAGGUGGCAAGCGUUGUCCGGAUUUAUUGGGCGUAAAGAGAAUGUAGGCGGUUUAUUAAGUUUGAAGUGAAAGCCCUCGGCUCAACCGAGGAAGUGCUUCGAAAACUGGUAAACUUGAGCGCAGAAGAGGAAAGUGGAACUCCAUGUGUAGCGGUGGAAUGCGUAGAUAUAUGGAAGAACACCAGUGGCGAAGGCGGCUUUCUGGUCUGUAACUGACGCUGAGAUUCGAAAGCAUGGGUAGCAAACAGGAUUAGAUACCCUGGUAGUCCAUGCCGUAAACGAUGAGUGCUAAGUGUUGGAGGGUUUCCGCCCUUCAGUGCUGCAGCUAACGCAUUAAGCACUCCGCCUGGGGAGUACGA
rnacentral:rRNA from 1 species